rnacentral:rRNA from 1 species
GGACCCGCACAAGCGGUGGAGCAUGUUCUUUAAUUCGAAGCAACGCGAAGAACCUUACCUACACUUGACAUGCCUCUUGGGACUUUCAGAGAUGAUUGUCUUCGGUUCGGCCGGGGAGUGCACAGGUGCUGCAUGGCUGUCGUCAGCUCGUGUCGUGAGAUGUUGGGUUAAGUCCCGCAACGAGCGCAACCCUUAUCGUAUGUUGCCAGCAUUUAGUUGGGCACUCAUGCGAGACUGCCGGUGAUAAGCCGGAGGAAGGCGGGGACGACGUCAAGUCAUCAUGGCCCUUACGUGUAGGGCUAGAAACGUGCUACAAUGGCGGUGACAGUGGGCAGCGAGGCAGUGAUGCCAAGCUAAUCCCAAAAAGCCGUCUCAGUUCAGAUUGUAGUCUGCAACUCGACUACAUGAAGUUGGAAUCGCUAGUAAUCGUGAAUCAGCAUGUCACGGUGAAUACGUUCCCGGGUCUU